UGCUUUGUAGGAAUUCUAAUUUUUUGCCUUUCCUCAAAGCUGGCAUUGCCCACCGGCCAUGCCGGCUGAAGAAAAGAAGACUGAGGACCCCAGGAUGCCCAGCGCGAGGACCCCAGGAAGCCCAGCGCGAGGACUCCACCCACGACGCCCAGCGCGAGGACUUCACGCACAACACGUUGCAACCCUCCUGGAUUAGGCCAAAGCCAUCAUCUGGAAUCCUGCGUGGGACCCUGGACACACGGACACAGACACCUGCCCCCAGG
rnacentral:lncRNA from 1 species